rnacentral:rRNA from 1 species
CAUGCAAGUCGAACGGGAAAUAUUUCAUUGAGACUUCGGUGGAUUUGAUCUAUUUCUAGUGGCGGACGGGUGAGUAACGCGUGGGUAACCUGCCUUAUACAGGGGGAUAACAGUCAGAAAUGGCUGCUAAUACCGCAUAAGCGCACAGAGCUGCACGGCUCAGUGUGAAAAACUCCGGUGGUAUAAGAUGGACCCGCGUUGGAUUAGCUAGUUGGUGGGGUAACGGCCCACCAAGGCGACGAUCCAUAGCCGGCCUGAGAGGGUGAACGGCCACAUUGGGACUGAGACACGGCCCAGACUCCUACGGGAGGCAGCAGUGGGGAAUAUUGCACAAUGGGGGAAACCCUGAUGCAGCGACGCCGCGUGAAGGAAGAAGUAUCUCGGUAUGUAAACUUCUAUCAGCAGGGAAGAUAGUGACGGUACCUGACUAAGAAGCCCCGGCUAACUACGUGCCAGCAGCCGCGGUAAUACGUAGGGGGCAAGCGUUAUCCGGAUUUACUGGGUGUAAAGGGAGCGUAGACGGUGUGGCAAGUCUGAUGUGAAAGGCAUGGGCUCAACCUGUGGACUGCAUUGGAAACUGUCAUACUUGAGUGCCGGAGGGGUAAGCGGAAUUCCUAGUGUAGCGGUGAAAUGCGUAGAUAUUAGGAGGAACACCAGUGGCGAAGGCGGCUUACUGGACGGU